rnacentral:rRNA from 1 species
UCGAGGGGUAACAGGGGAGCUUGCUCCCGCUGACGACCGGCGAACGGGUGAGUAACGCGUACGUAACCUACCUUCAAGAGAGGGAUAGCCCUGGGAAACUGGGAUUAAUACCUCAUGGCAUCAUAAGAUCACCUGAUCUAAUGAUUAAAGCUGAGGCGCUUGAAGAUGGGCGUGCGUUCUAUUAGAUAGUUGGUGAGGUAACGGCUCACCAAGUCAGCGAUAGAUAGGGGGCGUGAGAGCGUGGUCCCCCACACGGGUACUGAGACACGGACCCGACUCCUACGGGAGGCAGCAGUAAGGAAUAUUGGACAAUGGGCGAAAGCCUGAUCCAGCCAUUCCGCGUGUAGGAUGACGGCCCUCUGGGUUGUAAACUACUUUUAUUUGGGAAGAAACCCUGGGAUUUAUCCCGGGCUGACGGUACCAAAAGAAUAAGCACCGGCUAAUUCCGUGCCAGCAGCCGCGGUAAUACGGAAGGUGCAAGCGUUAUCCGGAAUCACUGGGUUUAAAGGGUGCGUAGGCGGUUGCGUAAGUCAGAAGUGAAAGCUCACAGCUUAACUGUGGAAUUGCUUUUGAUACUGCGCGACUAGAAUUAGGUUGAGGUUGGCGGAAUGUGACAUGUAGCGGUGAAAUGCAUAGAUAUGUCAUAGAACACCAAUUGCGAAGGCAGCUGACUGGACCUAUAUUGACGCUGAGGCACGAAAGCGUGGGGAGCGAACAGGAUUAGAU